CUCGGAACCCUCUGAAUAGAACCGGAAUCACUAUUGAAGAGCAGAAAAAUGACCGGCACAACAACUGCCGAAUGGAAUGCUACUGGAACUGAAACGGAAGUUUUCUGGAACCGGAGGAAGCUUCCUGGAAAGCCGACAUGGAGCAUGAGGACGAGCCGGCAAGCUUCAACUUUAUCGUAUUGCUCAGUUUCAAAGCCGAAGCCAACGGAGUCUGGAUCGUCGUAGGAAUGUGAACGGAAUUGCCGGAAUUUCUCUGAUGGUCAUCCUCACAUCAUCAUGUCUAAUGGGGCACGUCACGCCAUAGCAAUCAUGGCCUAGAGUGGAUCGAACCAUUUGCGGAUCGCUGAACUCCAUUCUGGCUGCAAAAUGCUGUUAAUCUCAUACAGGACAGAUCAAGGUGGUGAGAGUAUAGGAACAACAGGGGACGAAGAUGGCUUUGUCUGCAAUUAUGAUGGAAGCUUGGAAGCGGUUUAAACUUGUCAUGCAGCAGGACGUUUCAACCGAUUACUGACUUCGGCCAUAGUAGCAUACAGUUUCACGAGGAUUCGUCUAUAUCCAGGUUUUCACGAGCGCUAAUGGCUGCCGAAAACAGGCUCGCUUUCUGGUAGGGAUCAGUCG